ACCCUUCUUAGUUCAUAAGCAUGAUGAUUGGGUUUUCAUACUCAUGUGUGAGAUGUCUCUCUCUCAAACUUUGUGAAAAGUCAGCACAUGACCCAUCUGAUG
rfam:Pan troglodytes isolate Yerkes chimp pedigree #C0471 (Clint) chromosome 1, whole genome shotgun sequence.